AUACUCUGGUUUCUCUUCAGAUCGUAUAAAUCUUUCGCCUUUUACUAAAGAUUUCCGUGGAGAGGAGCAUUUAUGAGUUUUCGUAACCAUUCGAAUGAACAAUUUUUAUCAA